UACGAAGGGGGCUAGCGUUGCUCGGAAUUACUGGGCGUAAAGCGCACGUAGGCGGCUUUCUAAGUCGGAGGUGAAAUCCUGGAGCUCAACUCCAGAACUGCCUUCGAUACUGGAGCUUGAGUCCGGGAGAGGUGAGUGGAACUGCGGAGUGUAGAGGUGAAAUUCGUAGAUAUUCGCAAGAACACCAGUGGCGAAGGCGGCUCACUGGCCCGGUACUGACGCUGAGGUGCGAAAGCGUGGGGAGCAACAGG
rnacentral:rRNA from 1 species